GAAGGCAGCAUCAUUCUGAGUUUUUCCCUGAAGGACAUCAACCCAUUAAUGGAAGUAAAAUAAGAACAAAAACACAGUUUUGACAUAAAAACUCUAAAUGUUCUGUUUUAAAGUAAUUUAAAUCAAAAUUUGAGCAUGUUUUUGUCCAGAUCCGUGUUAUUUCUUUCUUUUAUGAGGUGAAUUACCAAAGCAUGCCAGGAUUCUGGUUCUGGUCCGGCCCGUCUGUCAGAUUUUAAACCCCUUUGUGGCCCACGAGUGAUACAGUUCGUCCAUCUGUUCUAUAGCGUCCCUCUGCAGUCAGCUCACCUCAAUCGUCUUUCUCUUGGUCUUCCUCAGGUUCUCCAGACGUUCCCGUUCUUUCUCCACGGUUCUGGUGGACUCUCUCAGCCUCUCCAGAUCCUGCUGCUGACCUCCAGCCGCCUGCACUCCUCCUCCCUCUGCAGCAGCCGGGCCUCGGUGGCCUCCACCUGCUGCCGGUGCCUCUCCCUCUCCUUCUCCCAGCGCUGCUGCUCCUGCCGGUGCUGAGACUGCAGCUUAUGCAGGGUGGCGAGCUCCUCUCUCUGCAGGGCCAGCGUCCGCUGUUUCUCCUGCUCCAGCAGCACGUUUCCUCGGUGGCGGUUGGGCAUGGAGGCCCGCUCCGUCAGGGAGGCCCUCUGGAGCUCGAUGUGACUGUCCUGCUGGGAUAUGAUGGCCUGAGGAUGCAAACAAACCGAUAAAAUACAUGCAUCCAAACGUUCAGAAGAUUUGGGGAGAAAUAAAUCCAGAUUUAUAGACAUAAAAAUACAGAAACUCCUUAAAUAAAUGAAUAAACGUGAAGAUGUGGUUACCUGCAGACUAUAAAGGCUCUGGGAGAGCAUCAACACGCUGCCAAUAAGCUACAAAAAAAAAAAAAAA